AAUGGGGGCAACCCUGACGCAGCAAUGCCGCGUGAGUGAAGAAGGCCUUCGGGUCGUAAAGCUCUUUUAUGGGGGAAGAUGAUGACGGUACCCCAUGAAUAAGCACCGGCUAACUACGUGCCAGCAGCCGCGGUAAUACGUAGGGUGCGAGCGUUGUUCGGAAUUACUGGGCGUAAAGGGCGUGCAGGCGGAUUGGCAAGCCGGAGGUGAAAGCCCGGGGCUCAACCCCGGAGGGUCUUUCGGAACUGCCAGUCUUGAGAGGGUCAGGGGCCAGCGGAAUUCCUGGUGUAGAGGUGAAAUUCGUAGAGAUCAGGAGGAACACCGGCGGCGAAAGCGGCUGGCUGGGGCCACUCUGACGCUGAGGCGCGAAAGCGUGGGGAGCAAACAGGAUU
rnacentral:rRNA from 1 species